GGAGGGUGCAAGCGUUAUCCGGAUUUACUGGGUUUAAAGGGUGCGUAGGUGGGUUGGUAAGUCAGUGGUGAAAUACUUUCGCUUAACGAAGGAACUGCCAUUGGUACUACCAGUCUUGAAUACAGUGGAGGUAGGCGGAAUGCGUCAUGUAGCGGUGAAAUGCUUAGAUAUGACGCAGAACACCAAUUGCGAAGGCAGCUUGCUACACUGUUAUUGACACUGAGGCACGAAAGCGUGGGGAUCAAACAGGAUUAGAUACCCUGGUAGUCCACGCCCUAAACGAUGAUUACUCGAUCUCAGCGAUACACUGUUGGGGUCUAUGUGAAAACAUUAAGUAAUCCACCUGAGGAGUACGAUCGCAAGAUUG
rnacentral:rRNA from 1 species